CAUUUUCUUCUCUCAAAAUUCUUCCUUCAUCACACAACACACACGUUGCCGACGACACAACCACACCGCCACUAGAGGUGACACCAUAGAAGUAGGCGGCGCAAGGAAGAAAAGGGGGGUCGUUGUUGCUGUAAUUUGGAGCAUUUGGUGCUCGAAUUAGGGGCGUUUGCAAGUUAUUUCUCAUCCCCAAUCAUCUAUAUUAGUGGAUUCCGGUUUCAUUGAGGAGCCGUAUUGACUGAGCUAGUUGGUUUGAUAUAGUUUAAAAGGUACAUGAAGGCUUAGAGUCGGGUUAUGGGCGGAGAGCAACGUCCACUAGUUUUGCGUAAAUAUAAUUAUAAUAGUUCUGUUCUGGUGCAUUUCUUAUAUAUAAUCAAUAUUUUGAGACUUAGGGUUGUAAAUAUUAAUCUCCACCCUAAAUCUUUAUUCGGUUGGGUUGUAAUAGUUUAAAAUAAACUUUAAAUUAGUUUUGGUGCAGGUAGUUCUUCCUUAGCGAUUAUUCUCGUAAUAAUCGUGGAAUAACACGUUUGGAUUUCGAGGAGUUAUACAGGAAUUUCGUUGGUAUUUGAAA